UAGUCGCUGGCAAAAUUCGAAAGGAUUUGCGAGAGGAAAGUCCGGGCUCCAAAGAGCAAUGAUGCUAGAUAACGUCUAGUGAGGGAAACCUUAAGGAAAGUGCAACAGAAAAUAACCGCCUUUGACUUUUGUUCUAGGAAAUGAAAAUUUCUAAUGUUCUUAUUAAAGCAAAGGUAAGGAUGAAAAGGCGAGGUAAGAGCUCACCGGCUUCAAGGUGACUUGUAAGCAUCAGUGUAAACCCCAUCUGGAGCAACACCUAAAAUGGAUAUUUUAAACACCUGCUCGGUGGUCCAAAAAUGCGUGGCUUGAGCUAUAUAGUGAUAUAUAGCCUAGAUAAAUGACUAAUUUAAAUGACAGAACCCGGCUUACAGAUUUGC
rnacentral:RNase_P_RNA from 1 species